CUCCAUGCCAGGUACAGUGUGUGCACUGAGCCCUCUGCCCUGGCAGGUAUUGGCAGGACUUCAAUUUCAAAACCCAGGCUGGUGUACUGACAAGGGCCUUCAUUUUCUUUAAUCAAAUCAUAGCUUCAAAGACUCUGCAGGACGCUGCUAGCAUGUGAAAUUCAGAAGUCAGCAGCCAUGACUCUUCACGUCUGUACCCGUAUUGCCUGGUACAAGGGAUAUCACAUAGUAGGUACACAAUCCCUAAAGUGAAAGAACCCCAGUUCAUUCGUCUCGUGGAAUCUCCACGAAGAGGCACAUUUUCCCCCCAGGCAGCAGCCACGGCUGAACAUUCGUGAGAAGCAAGAUGUCUUAACUGUCUGGCCUGUCUCGAGAAACUUGUAUUCUUGAGAUGUAGAUCCAUCAGCUGCAUCAAUUCACUGAAGAGGAAGCCCCAAAGUGGAGGGUGUAUGGUGCCCUUUCUGUACCGUGGUCACUCAGAAGAAUGAGAUCAAGAUCAACUGUCAACCGGGGAAGCCAGCUUCCGAGAUCAAAGAACUAGAGCCACACCUGAGAUCUGUUCUACAGCUGAACCAAGGAUGCUGAAGUUCCAAGGUUCAUGGGGGUACAUGUGCAGCUUUGUGACAUGAUAAACUGCAUGCCUCAGGGGUUUGGUGUACAGACAGUUUCAUCACCCAGGUAAUGAGCACAGUACGUGAGAGGGAGUUUUUUGAUUCUCGCCCUCCUCCCACCCUCUACCCUCGAGUUGCCCCCAGUGUCUUUGUUCCCUUCUUUAUGUCCAUGUGACCUCAAUGCUUAGCUCUCACUUCUAAGCGAGAACACGUGAUAUUUGCUUUCCUGUUCCCGUGUUAUUUCACUUAGGACAGUGGCCUCCACCUGGAUCCAUGUUACUGGAGAAGACAUGAUUUCAUUCUUUGACUGUGUAGUAUUGCAUGGUGUA